GACGACCUCUGGCGGCGUGCCUAACACAUGCAAGUCGAACGGAACUUCUUUAAAAGAUUUCUUCGGAAUGAAUUUGAUUAAGUUUAGUGGCGGACGGGUGAGUAACGCGUGAGUAACCUGCCUCUGAGAGGGGAAUAACAUUCUGAAAAGAAUGCUAAUACCGCAUAAUAUAUAUUUAUCGCAUGGUAGAUAUAUCAAAGAUUUAUCGCUUAGAGAUGGACUCGCGUCCGAUUAGUUAGUUGGUGAGGUAACGGCUCACCAAGACCGCGAUCGGUAGCCGGACUGAGAGGUUGAACGGCCACAUUGGGACUGAGACACGGCCCAGACUCCUACGGGAGGCAGCAGUGGGGGAUAUUGCGCAAUGGGGGAAACCCUGACGCAGCAACGCCGCGUGAAGGAUGAAGGUCUUCGGAUUGUAAACUUCUUUUAUUAAGGACGAAGAAAGUGACGGUACUUAAUGAAUAAGCUCCGGCUAACUACGUGCCAGCAGCCGCGGUAAUACGUAGGGAGCAAGCGUUGUCCGGAUUUACUGGGUGUAAAGGGUGCGUAGGCGGCUUUGCAAGUCAGAUGUGAAAUCUAUGGGCUCAACCCAUAGCCUGCAUUUGAAACUGCAGAGCUUGAGUGAAGUAGAGGCAGGCGGAAUUCCCCGUGUAGCGGUGAAAUGCGUAGAGAUGGGGAGGAACACCAGUGGCGGAGGCGGCCUGCUGGGCUUUAACUGACGCUGAGGCACGAAAGCGUGGGUAGCAAACAGGAUUAGAUACCCUGGUAGUCCACGCUGUAAACG
rnacentral:rRNA from 1 species